UGGGGAAUAUUGGACAAUGGGCGAAAGCCUGAUCCAGCAAUACCGCGUGUGUGAAGAAGGCCUUCGGGUUGUAAAGCACUUUAAGCAGGGAAGAAAAAACUCAAAUUAAUACUUUGAGUCUUGACGGUACCUGAAGAAUAAGCACCGGCUAACUCUGUGCCAGCAGCCGCGGUAAUACAGAGGGUGCAAGCGUUAAUCGGAUUUACUGGGCGUAAAGCGUGUGUAGGUGGUUGGGAAAGUCAAUUGUGAAAUCCCCGGGCUUAACUCGGGAACUGCUUUUGAUACUGUCUGACUAGAAUUCGGUAGAGGGAGGCGGAACUCCAGGUGUAGCGGUGAAAUGCGUAGAUAUCUGGAAGAACACCAAUGGCGAAGGCAACCUCCUGGGCCUGAAUUGACACUGAGACACGAAAGCGUGGGGAUCAAACAGGAUUAGAUACCCUGGUAGUCCACGCCGUAAACGAUGACAACUUGACGUCGGUUUGCUCUGCGAAUCGGUGUCGUAGCUAACGCGAUAAGUUGUCCGCCUGGGGAGUACGGCCGCAAGGUUG
rnacentral:rRNA from 1 species